ACAGAUUCUAAACACCGGUAUGUAUAUACAUUGAUCCUGUACAGAAGAUUAACAAAUUGACCCAGAUAGAUGUAUAUCUGAAAUAUAUAGUAUAGCAAAUAUUAGAAUAUAAACCAACACAAGGGAGCUGAUGUAAUCUGAAAUGGAGAAGAAGUUAGAUCGAUUUUAAAAUUAAUUUAUAUAUUAGUGCAACACUCGAUAGUAAGUAUACUAGAUCAGAAGUGCCCAAAAGGUAGAUUAACAGAUGUUUUAAAACUACAACUUCCAUGAUGUUUUGUCAUUCUAAAGCAUUCCAAAGACAUGCAAAGCAUCAUGGGAGUUGUAGUUCAACAAUAUCUGGGGAUCUACCUUUUAGGCACACGUGCACUAGAUAUUCCCUGUGUUCUCUUUCAAAUUCAAGACUUUUUUUCCCAACAGUCAAAACUGACUUUUUAAAUAUCAUGGAGACAUGGGAAAAAGCAUUCGAGAGUGUCCAGGAUGCAGAGCUCACACAGAAAUAUGGCCAUCUUUGGACUUUACACAUUAAUAACGCCAUUGACUCAGAAUUGACUUUUACUGAGAAACAGCAAGGAUGGAAGGUUUACCAAACAUGCUCAUUUGGCAG